CAUUUUUGCACGAUUAAGGUUUUUGUUUUUGUUUUUCUCAAGCAGAAGAUUGAAUGUUCUUGAAUGAUCAAGAAUUAGAAAAAUGGGUAAAGUUAUACCUUUUAUCAAGCAGAAGAUUGAAUGUUCAAAAAUGGGUUUCGAUUUAGGGUUUAUACCCUCAUUUUCAUCAAAAAAAAAGAAAGAAAGAGAAAAGGGUUUUGAUUUUAUGAAGCAGAAGAUUGAAUAUUACCGUAGCAAACAGAAGAGAUUAUCGGCAUAGAUCGAGCAUACCAGUUUCUUGAUCUUUCAACAACCCACCGAACACCACAGCGUUUGCGUGUUUCGUUAUUUUCUUGUUUCUUGAAGAAGAAAGAAUGAAUUUUUC
rnacentral:lncRNA from 1 species